rnacentral:rRNA from 1 species
AACGAACGCUGGCGGCAUGCCUAACACAUGCAAGUCGAACGAGACCUUCGGGUCUAGUGGCGCACGGGUGCGUAACGCGUGGGAACCUGCCCUUAGGUUCGGAAUAACUCCCCGAAAGGGGUGCUAAUACCGGAUAAUGUCUUCGGACCAAAGAUUUAUCGCCUUUGGAUGGGCCCGCGUUGGAUUAGCUAGUUGGUAGGGUAAAAGCCUACCAAGGCGACGAUCCAUAGCUGGUCGGAGAGGAUGAUCAGCCACACUGGGACUGAGACACGGCCCAGACUCCUACGGGAGGCAGCAGUGGGGAAUAUUGGACAAUGGGCGAAAGCCUGAUCCAGCAAUGCCGCGUGAGUGAUGAAGGCCUUAGGGUUGUAAAGCUCUUUUACCCGGGAUGAUAAUGACAGUACCGGGAGAAUAAGCGCCGGCUAACUCCGUG